CUUGGCUCAAAGUUGCCUUUUCUUUUGUUUCUGCUAUGCUGGAGUGGAAGAGAGAAAACUGGCCAAGUCAUGACACGGCGUCAGAAAGAGACAAAGAAGCGGGUGUAGGAUCACCUCCGGAUCCCGCGGCCACAGUGGAGGCGCGCAUCGCCUGGCGUGUCAUCUGGGGCCCACCGGGUCGCACGGCUAACCUACCAACACUGCUAACCUGCCGACAGGGAAGCUCGGUCGCGACUCCUGCAUUAGGUGGAGGAACUGCCCGUCUCUCAGAAGAGGAAAAGAAGCCCUUCCAGAGCUAAAAAAUGGACAUAUGCUCAAACAGAAGGAGAAAAC
rnacentral:lncRNA from 1 species